AAAGUCACUGGGGGAAAACCAAACAUUCCAAGCAAGAUGACCACGGGACUGCAUGGAGCCUCCUCUAAUUAGGUAUAUUGCCAGGAUCAUCCAGGGCUGACCUGUUUCAGGUGAGAAAAAUGCCAUCAGCUGAUGUGUUGACCACGCAAAGAAGUGAUACACACUGCUUCAGAGGAAAAUCUGGGAAUAUGGAGCUCUAUAAAAUCUGGGAAUAUGGA